GAGAUCCCUCCGCUUCCGCGCCGGAAGCUGGGGUUUGCUUUGGAGGCUCGGGCGGUGGCUGCUCCGAGUCCACAGCCUGAAGACUACGAGCUCGGAGGGUCCGCGAAGGGCCGCCCGGCCUCGGCCUCCGCCUCCUGCGCGUCGCCUGACAGCAUUACCGUUUCCACAGUGACAGCGUUUCCUCCGGCGGCCGUCCCGCCGCCUCCAGGGCCAUGGCUUCGUCCCAGGCACCCCUUCCACACGUCACUUCCGGAAGCGACUCUCGCAGGCGCCAGCCGCCCUCGUUGCCUUGGAGACGCUUGCGCUUUACCGGGCCGCACUUCCCACCGGGGUCUUCAGAAGCCUGUGGCCGCUGGGUGAGCCCCUGCGUGAACGCACACGCACGCACACGGCUUCAAGUUGCCCCGCGACGCCGGGCGCGAUAUCGGCUCGGGUCCCCGGAGGCCGUCCGCCCCGUUUUCAGCGGAUAGCUGAGGCCAGGCCAGUAUAUUUCUGUACAAACAAGAUAAUGCAAGAUUUGACAGUUAAGGCUUUGAAGCACAGCACACAAAAUGAAACAAUUUAAAACUUCUUCAUAAAAAUGGGAAAAAUUCCCAGGCCAAAGGAAAAAAAAAGCCUUCACAGCAAGAGACUGACACUCGACUCCCCCCUGCUGAGGUGUGGCCAGUGAGUCUGGGUCCUGCUGAGGUGUGGCCAGUGAGUCUGGGUGUGAGCUGCCACCUGACGGCCAGCUCUGAGGUAUCAAAGGAGCUCCGAGUGCAAGUUGAAGACUUCAGCAAGCUGGCCCCCGGCCCCCACACCCGUUCAUAGGCAGUCGGAAUGCAGAUCUCGGUGGCAGGUGGCUCUGCACAGUCCAGAGUGAUAAAACAAUCACAGAUGACUAAAUGCCAGGGACUGUGUGAAGUCAGUUACUGCCUGCAGUCUGGGUCACUCUCCCUUCGUCAGACGCUGUGGCGGCACCAUCACAGUGAGGAGAACGGAGCACAGUUCCUUCCGUGGCUCCUGCCAGCGCUGCUCAAGGUGUGCAUGGCUGAGUCCUGGAUAAGCAUUUUGUAUUUUUGUAGCUCUCACUCCUUAGGCCCAAUUUCAAGUUAAGUCAUUAACUCAUUUAGAAUGAAUAUUAAGGAUACUGCCUCUAACAUAUCAAUAGCUGUGCUGAGCUGUCUAGGAAGAGAAGUUAGUCCAGAGAGGUCCUAAGUAUCAAAGCAGAUUUUGGAAAGAAAAAAGGCAACACUUCAGUGAGAAAAGCAGCACAAGAUUCGGGCUCGGGGACUCUUUUCCCUCUUUCCGAAACGUAACUGGUUUUGUAUGCACUCUGAGUCCUAGUUUUUAUGUCUUGGCUGAGAACCACAGAAAGGACUAGAUAUUCAUACAUGCUAGAGCACACUGAGACUGCAUGUUUAUUUGGCAUAACGCUAGAAAAAAGUCCGCAAAGAACUGCCGGAACCAGGCCUGUGACCAAGUUUACAGUCAUCUCGUUUCUCUUAUAAUUUCAAAAUAUCAGAUCGGAAGAAUCUUUGGCGAUUAAUCCACUCUCCAUUUUAUGCAUGAGAAAACCAAGGCCCUGAUGGUGUCUCUGGUCCAAGUCCAGUGCUUUUCACAAUGAGGCUUUUGGCUCUUACCCUCUGAAGUGGGGCAGUGACUCAUUGUGAGGGUGAGGGUCAGAUCUUGUUAGUUUGAUCUUAAGGCACUCACAAAAUGCCCUGAUUUUUCUUGUUUUUGUGAGAAGACAAAAAACAGUCUGUUAGUUUUUCACAUCAUCUUGGGAACCCAGAAAUAUAUGUACAAUACUCAGAAUUUAAGGGAAUGGAAGAAAGAAGAAAAUGAGAUUCUCUUUUGUGAGUACAGAAUUAGAAGAAAAAAAAAAAAAAAGAGGGGUGGGCAGUGCCAGAGGCGAGCGUGCACAGAUCAUUACUGCGUGUGUGGCUGAGCUAUAUGACUCCUGGAAUGUAAACAAUGUUGGUUUAUUUCCAAUUUCAUCUAAUCUUCAUUGUUAUCUCCCAAUGAACAGUACUCAUGAUGAGAAAGUUUCAGAACAUGUAUAUACAUGGUUCAGAAACAGCUCAGCUUUCAAAAAGCUGUCAGCUCAGGUAGCACGCUUUGGUCUUGAAUUUGGUGCUAUGCUGACAGCUCUCCUUCUGAAUGCAAAGGCACCAGUACGUGAUGAAGUCCACGCCGCAGACGAGGAGAGUCUUCUCUCCAAAGUCAUCCAAAGAUAGCUGAAGAAAUAAUUCUAUCUGAUUUGUCGAUUCCGUUUCAGCACAGCAGCUGUUUUCCACACUGAGACACAGUUGGCGAGCAGUAUCUCUUCUGGGAACUGAGAUUCCAUUUCAGGAAGAAUUUCACUUUCUUUAGUUUCCAUGUAACUUACGAGAGUGUCUCUCAGGCUGAAAAACCAAAGAAGAGAGCAUUUAAAACAGUCUCCUCAGCAUGGUGGCCCACGUGUGUAAGCCCAGCACUGUGGGAGGCUGAGGUGGGUGGGUCAGUGGAGCUCAGGAGUUCAAGACCAGCCUGGGCAACAUGGCGAAACCCUGUCUCUAGCAAAAAUACAAAAAUUAGCUGGGCACGUGGUGGUGUAUGCCUAUAGUCCCAAGCUACUCAGGAGGCUGAGGUGGGAGGACCACUUGAGCCCGGGAGGUGGAGGCUACAGUGAGCUGAGAUUGCAUGACUGCACUCCAGCCUGCGCUACAGUGAGCUGAGAUUGCAUGACUGCACUCCAGCCUGCGCCACAGUGAGAUCCUGUCUCAAAAAAAAAAAAUCUCCCAUAUAACAUAAGGGGACCAAUCAGUCCCCUCAUGUCACUUUUUCCCGUUGUCAUCAGCAGAACCAAAAUGCUCGUUAAGACUUAAAAUCCUAGGCCGGGCGCAGUGGCUCACGCCUAUAAUCUUAGCACUUUGGGAGGCUGAGGCAGGUGGAUCACUUGAAGUCAGGAGUUCAAGACCAGCCUAGCCAACAUGGAGAAACCCCAUCUCUACUAAAAAUACAAAAUUAGCCAGGCGUGGCGGCGGGCGCCUGUAAUCCCAGCUACUCGGGAGGCUGAGGCAGGAAAAUCACUUGAACCCAGGAGGUGGAGCUUGCAGUGAGCUGAGUUUGCACCACUGCACUCCAGCCUGGGCGACAGAGCGAGACUCCGUCUCAAAAAAAAACCAGAAAUCCUGAGGAGCAGUUUAAGGUCAAUGACCUGAGCUCCUGAACUGGGACUAGCAUCCUGGGUUCAAGGCUCUGGUGCCUGACUGCUGCUUCCCACAUGCAGUACACAAACACCACAGAAGCCCAUGGAGCAAGCCCUGUGCUGGCCCCUUCACAUGACUUUAGGCUCUCUAGCAAGGUGAUGUUUAUUUACAGGGUUGCAUAAACAAGGCCUCACCAUUCAAAAAACCUUGUAUUCUAUUACAUGUUUCACAUUAACAAAGACUGGAAAUUCUCUAGGAAAGGGAUCUUUUUUAUCUACAUGAAAAGCACAGGCUAGUAAAGACUUGUUGAAUAAGUUGAAAGAACAUAAAUGUAUAUAGUAUAAGCCACAGCAUAAUGGAGGAAGAUAGCAAAUAGGAAACAUUGGUGAGGAAGACUGGAGUUUGAUGAUCUAGUCAGGAAAACAUCAGGUUAAAUCCUUACUUCACACCUAAACAUAAACUGGUGAAUAAAACACCAGUGAAAGCACAAAAAGAGAGAGGACAGGCCGGGCACGGUGGCUCACGCCUGUAAUCCUAGCACUUUGGGAGGCCGAGGUGGGCAGAUCACUUGAGGUCAGGAGAUUGAGACCAGCCUGGUCAACAUGGUGAAACCCGUGUCUACUAAAAAUACAAAAAAAAAUUAGCCGGGUAGGUGCAUGCCUGUAGUCCCAGCUACUCGGGAGGCUGAGGCAGGAGAAUCACUGGAACCCAGGAGGCAGAGGUUGCAGUGAGCUGAGAUCACACCAUUGCACGCUAACCUGGGUGACAUGGCAAGACUCCCGUCUCAAAAAAAAAAAAAAAAAAGAGAGGCUAGUUUAUAAUCCUGGGAUAAGGAAGAUCCUAGUAAGUGUUUUCAUAUAGAGACCCUUUAUAGGAAAAUUCUGUCGGAUUUGACUUCAUAAAAUUAAAGGCUGAGAUAGAGCACUGUGGCACACAGCAUAGAAGAUGAACCCCUGUUCUAUGCAAAGAGCUCUCACAACCAUUACAGAGACAAAGCACAAAAGAAAAAUAAA